rnacentral:rRNA from 1 species
UCUAACUCUGAAUACAUAGGGGUUAGAAGCGAACCUGGGGAACUGAAACAUCUAAGUACCCAGAGGAAAGGACAUCAAACGAGACUCCGCUAGUAGUGGCGAGCGAACGCGGACCAGGCCAGUGGCUUUUGUGAAUGAAGUGGAACGAGUUGGAAAACUCGACCGAAGUGGGUGAUAGUCCCGUACACGUAGAAUAGCAGAAGUCCUUGAGUAGGGCGGGACACGUGAAAUCCUGUCUGAACAUGGGUCGACCACGAUCCAAGCCUAAGUACUCGUGCAUGACCGAUAGCGAACCAGUACCGUGAGGGAAAGGUGAAAAGCACCCCGACGAGGGGAGUGAAACAGUACCUGAAACCGGAUGCCUACAAACAGUUGGAGCCCAAGGUUCGUCCUGGGUGACAGCGUACCUUUUGUAUAAUGGGUCAGCGACUUAGUGUAUCGAGCAAGCUUAAGCCGGUAGGUGUAGGCGCAGCGAAAGCGAGUCUGAACAGGGCGUUCAGUUCGAUGCAUUAGACCCGAAACCAAGUGAUCUAGCCAUGAGCAGGUUGAAGGUACGGUAACACGUACUGGAGGACCGAACCCAUAUCUGUUGCAAUAGAUCGGGAUGACUUGUGGCUAGGGGUGAAAGGCCAAUCAAACUUGGAGAUAGCUGGUUCUCCGCGAAAUCUAUUUAGGUAGAGCGUCGACCGAAUACCCCCGGGGGUAGAGCACUGGAUGGGCUAUGGGGACUCACCGUCUUACUGAUCCUAACCAAACUCCGAAUACCGGGGAGUACUAGUCGGCAGACACACGGCGGGUGCUAACGUCCGUCGUGGAGAGGGCAACAACCCUGACCACCAUCUAAGGUCCCUAAGUUAUGGCUAAGUGGGAAAGGAUGUGAGGAUCCCAAAACAACCAGGAUGUUGGCUUAGAAGCAGCCAUCAUUUAAAGAAAGCGUAACAGCUCACUGGUCUAAAUAAGGGUCUUUGCGCCGAAAAUGUACCGGGGCUCAAGCCAUACACCGAAGCUGUGGAUGCACGUAUGUGCGUGGUAGCGGAGCGUUCCGUAAGCCUGUGAAGGGACAGUCGUGAGACAUCCUGGAGGUAUCGGAAGUGAGAAUGCUGACAUGAGUAACGAUAAAGGGAGUGAGAGACUCCCUCGCCGAAAGUCCAAGGGUUCCUGCUUAAAGUUAAUCUGAGCAGGGUUAGCCGGCCCCUAAGGCGAGGCCGAAAGGCGUAGUCGAUGGGAACCACGUUAAUAUUCGUGGGCCUGCAGGUAGUGACGGAUCGCGUGUGUUGUACGUUCUUAUUGGAUUGAACGUGCAGCGAAGCGGUUCCAGGAAAUAGCUCCUGCAUAUAGACCGUACCCUAAACCGACACUGGUGGACUGGUAGAGAAUACCAAGGCGCUUGAGAGAACUGCGUUGAAGGAACUCGGCAAAAUGCACGCGUAACUUCGGAAGAAGCGUGACCCUCAUAUGGGCAACCAUGUGGGGGUGGCACAGACCAGGGGGUAGCGACUGUUUACCAAAAACACAGGGCUCUGCGAAGUCGCAAGACGACGUAUAGGGUCUGACGCCUGCCCGGUGCUGGAAGGUUAAGAGGAGAUGUGCAAGCAUUGAAUUGAAGCCCCAGUAAACGGCGGCCGUAACUAUAACGGUCCUAAGGUAGCGAAAUUCCUUGUCGGGUAAGUUCCGACCUGCACGAAUGGCGUA